rnacentral:rRNA from 1 species
AUUGAACGCUGGCGGCAGGCCUAACACAUGCAAGUCGAGCGAGCGGCGGACGGGUGAUUAAUGUAUGGGGAUCUGCCCGCUAGAGGGGGAUAACUACUGGAAACGGUGGCUAAUACCGCAUACCAUCGGAUGUGCCCACAUGGGAUUAGCUAGUAGGUGGGGUAACGGCUCACCUAGGCGACGAUCCCUAGCUGGUCUGAGAGGAUGACCAGCCAGACUGGAACUGAGACACGGGCCAGACUCCUACGGGAGGCAGCAGUGGGGAAUAUUGCACAAUGGGCGCAAGCCUGAUGCAGCCAUGCCGCGGGUAUGAAGAAGGCCUUCGGGUUGUAAAGGACGUUCAGCGAGGAGGCGUUACGCGCAGAAGAAGCACCGGCUAACUCCGUGCCAGCAGCCGCGGUAAUUC